GACGAACGCUGGCGGCGUGCUUAACACAUGCAAGUCGAACGGAGUACCCUUGAUUGAGGCUUCGGCCAAUUUCUUGGACUACUUAGUGGCGGACGGGUGAGUAACACGUGAGUAACCUGCCCUUGAGUGGGGAAUAACACACCGAAAGGUGUGCUAAUACCGCAUAACAUAACGGAAUCGCAUGUUUCUGUUAUCAAAGAUUUAUUGCUCAAGGAUGGGCUCGCGGCCGAUUAGGUAGUUGGUGAGGUAACGGCUCACCAAGCCGACGAUCGGUAGCCGGACUGAGAGGUUGAACGGCCACAUUGGGACUGAGACACGGCCCAGACUCCUACGGGAGGCAGCAGUGGGAAUAUUGCACAAUGGGGGAAACCCUGAUGCAGCGACGCCGCGUGAAGGAUGAAAGGUCUUCGGAUCGUAAAGCGUCUAUCAGCAGGGAGAAAAUGACGUACCUGACUAAGAAGCCCC
rnacentral:rRNA from 1 species